rnacentral:pre_miRNA from 1 species
AGACUUCUGUACUAGUGAUGAGAUUUCAUCAUACAUCAGACCACAAAGGCUAAUGAUACUCCCAAGAUAAGUGGCGCG